GGGGGUGACUGGAAUUGACGGGGAGUUGAUUAUUGAUGUAAGCAUGUCGGGCAAUCAAGAUUUUGACCCGUAAAAACAUAUCUUGAAACAAUAACUGGCGAAAAUACUUACGCUCUUGCUGCCUAAUCGAAUCAUAGUAGAUUAACGCUUUACGCUGUUCAAGGAACAGUGGCAGGACAUUCCGCAAAUGGCAAGUCCUUAGUCGUUUGAAUCCGGAGUGCUGUAAUUAAGGAAUAGCGCACAAUGUGUUUGGAGUUGUGCGUAAAAUUUACAAACUAAGGAAAAAGUAGAGUGCCUGUUUUCGGCUUUUUCCCUACAAUCAACAACACGGCUACACAUGUAGAAAGCAUUGGUAAUGCUUGUUCGGACCGGGGUUCGAUUCCCCGCACCUCCACAA
rnacentral:tmRNA from 1 species